AUGUUUGAAUUUGAUGGUGAACUGAUGUCUUCAAACAAAGAUUGGCAGAUUGGGUAUACUGAUCCCGAGGGUGUCAUGAUGCUGGUGGGAGAUGAUCCACGGGAGUAA
rnacentral:rRNA from 1 species